AUGGACGCCGCCGCCAUGGAGUCCCUCAUCCUGGAGCUGCACGCGGUGGAGGCCUACAAGUUCGGCGCCUUCGUGCUCAAGUCGGGGAUCACCUCCCCGAUCUACCUCGACCUGCGCGUGCUCGUCUCCCACCCGCGCCUCCUCUCCCGGGUGGCGGCCCUCCUCGGCUCCCUCCCCUUCACGCGCCCCUACGGCCUCCUCUGCGGCGUGCCCUACACGGCCCUCCCCUUCGCCUCCGUGCUCUCCGUCGCCCGCAGCAUCCCCAUGAUCCUCCGCCGCUACCACGAGACCGGCGCCGGCGCCGCCCCCGCGAUGCGCACCCAGGGCUCCUUCCGCGACGGGGACCUCGUCACCAGCGGCGCCUCCGUGCUCGAGACCGUCGCGCCGCUCCGGGACGAGGGGCUCGUGGUCGCCGACGCCGUCGUCGUCGUCGACCGCGAGCAGGGCGGGAGGGAGAACCUCGCGGCGAACGGGGUCACGCUGCACUCCCUCAUGACGCUCACCGAGGUGCUCGCCGUGCUCGUCAGCCACGGCAAGGUCACCCGGGAGAAGGCCGCCGAGGUGAAGCGCUUCCUCGACGCCAACAGGAAGGUCUUGGUGCCGGCGGAGACCAGGGUGGUGUCGGCAAGAGGGAUGGCCUUCGCCGAGAGGGCGAGGCUGGCCAAGAACCCGGUGGGGAGGAAGCUGCUCGAGGUCAUGGAGGCCAAGCAGAGCAACCUCUGCGUCGCUGCCGAUGUUACAACAGCAAACGAACUUCUUGAGCUAGCCAACAAGGUUGGUCCGGAGAUUUGCAUGCUGAAAACCCAUGUGGAUAUUUUGUCUGAUUUUACACCAGAUUUUGGUGCCAAGCUCCGUUCGAGGAACAUUCGCAUAUCAGACUGGGCCGAUAUUGUCACUGCGCAUGUAAUUCCUGGACCUGGAAUUGUUGAUGGCUUGAAGCUGAAGGUAUACUAUGCUAAUUACUUGCCUUAUAACUAG
rnacentral:rRNA from 1 species